rnacentral:tRNA from 1 species
AAGCCCCGGAAAUCUUUCGAUUUCUUCUCAGGGUUUGCAACCCUGUGUGAUAACACCCCGAGGCU